rnacentral:rRNA from 1 species
UGUAAGCGUAUACCAAAGUUGUUGCAGUUAAAACGCUCGUAGUCGGAAUUUGGCAGUUCCGGAAGUGUGCACGUCGUGUGCGCACUUUGCGGGGGCUGCUUUUGUGGUCUUGCGUAGGAUGAGGCACUUUCAUUAGUGAACGUCCUCACGCAACCACUCUUUACUGUGAGAAAAUCAGAGUGCUCAAAGCAGGCAUUUGCCGUGAAUGUAUUAGCAUGGAAUAAUAGAAUAGGACUCGGUUCUAUUUUGUUGGUUUGUUGGGACUGAGUAAUGAUUAAGAGGGACAGUUGGGGGCAUUUGUAUUCCGGCGCUAGAGGUGAAAUUCUUAGAUUGCCGGAAGACAAACUGCUGCGAAAGCGUCUGCCAAGGAUGUUUUCAUUGA